rnacentral:rRNA from 1 species
GCCAGGAAAUUACGAGCCCAAGCUUAAAACCCAAAGGACUUGACGGUGCCCCAUCCCCCUAGAGGAGCCUGUUCUAUAAUCGAUAAUCCCCGAUACACCUCACCACUUCUUGAACAUCAGCCUGUAUACCUCCGUCGCAAGCCCGCCAUGUGAACGCAUUCAGCGGACCCAACGAUUUAACAUCAUUACGUCAGGUCAAGGUGCAGCCCAUGAAGUGGAAAGAAAUGGGCUACAAUCUCUACCCUAGAACAAACGGAAAACUACAUGCAACAUAGUAACAAGGCGGAUUUAGUAGUAAAAAAAAAUAGAGAAUCUUUUUUAACCCGGCACUGAGGUGCGUACAUACCGCCCGUCACCCUCUUCAAAUGACACCACCAACAACGUUAUUAACUUCUUUCCGUCCCACAGAAGAGGCAAGUCGUAACACGGUAAGCGUACCGGAAGGUGCGCUUGGACAACAAAAUGUAACUUAACAAAAGUAUCUUGCUUACACCAAGAGUAUGUCCGUGAAACUCUGACCAUUAUGAGCUCAAAGCCUAGCCCUACAACUCAAAUUGACCCAUUAUAUAACUACCUAACAAAUAUAAUAAAACAUUUUAUUAACUCAGUAUAGGCGAUUAAAAAGUUUCUAGAAG